rnacentral:rRNA from 1 species
CACUCCUAACAGCUAGCCCCUCCCCCAAAAUCAACAAACAACAUUAAUAAGCCGACAAACCCAACAUAUUAAUUAACAAAUCAUUUUUCCCCCUUAGUAUGGGAGACAGAAAAGGACACACGGCGCAAUAGAAAAAGUACCGCAAGGGAAAGCUGAAAGAGAAAUGAAAAAACCCAGUAAAGAGAUAAAAAGCAGAGAUUAUCUCUCGUACCUUUUGCAUCAUGAUUUAGCUAGUAACCAUCAAGCAAAGUGCCCUUUAGUUUGAUUCCCCGAAACUGAGCGAGCUACUCCAAGACAGCCUAUUUAGGGCAAACCCGUCUCUGUGGCAAAAGAGUGGGAAGAUCUUUGAGUAGAGGUGACAGACCUACCGAGCUCAGUUAUAGCUGGUUACCCAUAAAAUGAACAGAAGUUCAGCCUUUACUCUUCUUCCCUCAGCUUUGCCCAUGCUUACAAUGACACAAAGAAGCUUAAAGAGUUAUUUAAGGGGGGAACAGCCCCCUUAAAAAAAGACACAACUUUAUUAAGCAGGCUAAAGAUUAAAAGACUCCAGGAACAAUACCUUGGUGGGCCCAAAAGCAGCCACCCUCACAGAAAGCGUUAAAGCUCAAGUAUUCUUAUAUCCCUAAUUCCUACAACCACAUCUUAAGCCCCUUAGUAUAUAGUGGGAUUUUUCAUGCAACCAUGAAAGUAAUACUGCUAAAAUGAGUAAUAAGAGGCUAUGACCCUCUCCAUAACACCUGUAUACAUCAGAACGAACCCCCACUGAAAAUUAACGCUCCCAACACAAAGAGGGCACUGAGACACCCCAAAAUAAACUAGAAGUAUACUCAAAAACAAGCGUUAACCCAACACAGGUGUGUUUAAGGAAAGACUAAAAGGGAAGGAAGGAACUCGGCAAACACUGGCCUCGCCUGUUUACCAAAAACAUCGCCUCUUGCAACAAACAUAUAAGAGGUCCCGCCUGCCCUGUGACUUUUUAGUUUAACGGCCGCGGUAUUUUGACCGUGCGAAGGUAGCGUAAUCACUUGUCUUUUAAAUGGAGACCUGUAUGAAUGGCACAACGAGGGCUAAACUGUCUCCCUUCCCCAGUCAAUGAAAUUGAUCUCCCUGUGCAGAAGCAGGGAUAUGAACAUAAGACGAGAAGACCCUAUGGAGCUUCAGACACAAGGCAGCCCAUGUAAAUACCUUAAUUAACAGAAUAAACAAAAUGGCCCCUGCCCUUUGUCUUUGGUUGGGGCGACCGCGGAGAAACAAAAAUCCUCCACGUGGAAUAAGGCCUUCUCCUUUAAAACCAGAGCCACAGCUCUAGUUAACAGAACAUCUGACCCACAAGAUCCGGCAAAGCCGAUCAACGGACCGAGUUACCCUAGGGAUAACAGCGCAAUCCCCUUUUAGAGCCCAUAUCGACAAGGGGGUUUACGACCUCGAUGUUGGAUCAGGACAUCCUAAUGGUGCAGCCGCUAUUAAGGGUUC